GGUGAUUUGAUUAUGUACAAAAAAAAAUGUACAAUGUAAAUAAAUUGAACCAAGUAAUGAGUAAUGUACUAUGCUCUAUGUUAUAAUUUAAAACUCGUUAUGUUAGUCUUUUGAAAAAAAUUAAACUCAAAAGAGAUAUACUUGUUUACAGUGCAAAUUAAUGGCAAUAAUAGGGAUUUACGAUUUAAUUUGCAGGAAAAACAUGGGCAACCUACCCAGUUGGUAAAAUUUCAAUUCAAAAACUCUUUAGAUUUUACUGUGUGGAUGUCACAGGAAGAGAAACAAAAUAAUAUUCAGUCACAGGAGUACAAGAACAUGAAACAUCUUAUUAUGUAUGUAUGCCAUUCUCAAACAAUUAUUGUACAAAACAAGAUAGAGAAGAGCUUUAAAAUCCCAAGGAUCCUGCGAAAAGAAAAGUGAAAAUGUUGUCUCAAUUAAUGUAGUAUAGAUAGACAUUUUUCUUUAUUUUAGUAUUAAAUAAUUAUUUAGAAUAUUAAUAGGUAUUAGUUUUAAUAGUAUUAAUAUGUAUUGUAUAAAUAAUUCCCAUCAUAUAUCUUCUGACUAAAGUUACAAAAUAAAUAAAAAUGAAAAAACAUUUAA
rnacentral:lncRNA from 1 species